AAAUGUCACCUCCUCCUAACAAACCACUGAUACAGGCAACACCGGACUUCAAAAACAGGCUGUCUGACAAGUCUGUCCCGUCAGUACAUGUUACAGAAUCAGCAUCCAAAUGCCUAGAUAAGUUGUCUCUACUGACAUCUGCUCCUGAUUCAGCACAUGAAUUAUCUUCUUGGCUUAUGCCAUCUUUAGCUGCUUCAGCACUGAUCCCAUCUCAUUAUUUACCAACCUGACAUUUUCUCCCCCUGCCAACAACUGAACUCUGUUUUUUCCAUCCCAUCGACACCUGGGUGAGAAGCAGCUUUCACAGUGCCUGCUGCUGCUGCUGCUGCUGCCUUAUGACUCGUUUUUUGCUGAACUCACUCAAUAGGCUCUUGCCAUUUUGAUGCAGAACUAUCAGGAGUGCCGUACAAUUGGAUGCCAGACUAUUGGAGUUUUACUGUACCUACCCAUGUGAAAACAAAUCCAGGUGUUCAGCAUUAUUGGACCAUCUUUUGUUCCAAAUGGAGAGAAAAGGGAAGCCAAGGAUUUGUUCCUCAUCUCACGGCAGAAAAGUCUUCCUUUGAAUGUUCUAAAGAACCAUCACAGUAUAUUAUCUGUAUCCUUUAUGCAGGAGUCACUACAGAUGAUGUUUGUACUAAAAAUGUUGUGCCAUUUCAUAGCUUUCAUUUUCUAGCAAUACAAAUAACAGGCAAUACUACUAGUGAUUUGCACUCUUAAGACCUACAGAGGAGGUUUCAGGGAUACCCGAGGACACCAUUAUCACAGGCUUUUAGGAGAAAUAAACCACCUGUGAUAUGAUCAAAUGGAUUAUUCUCUUAGACUCCCUCACUAUUCUUCCAGGCCAACAAAUGAGUGUGGAAGUCCUCUCCAUUCUCAGUUCUAUAUCAGUUCUCAAAAAGAAAAAGAAAAACACCUAGAAUAUUUUUAAAUCACAGCAGGCCUUUCCACAUACUAAAAGCUGUGCAUUUAAAUUAGAAUUGCCUACACACACAAAGCUGAAAUAAGAGGGCCCCAAAUGCCCUCCUUAUGUGUCUCUCUCUGUCACACACAUGCACCCCUGCAUAAACCCAAAGAAACAUGCGUUUCAAGCACACUUUCUAACAUCUC